UACGAAGGGGGCUAGCGUUGCUCGGAAUCACUGGGCGUAAAGGGUGCGUAGGCGGGUUUUAAGUCAGGGGUGAAAUCCUGGAGCUCAACUCCAGAACUGCCUUUGAUACUGAAGAUCUUGAGUCCGGGAGAGGUGAGUGGAACUGCGAGUGUAGAGGUGAAAUUCGUAGAUAUUCGCAAGAACACCAGUGGCGAAGGCGGCUCACUGGCCCGGUACUGACGCUGAGGCACGAAAGCGUGGGGAGCCAAACAGG
rnacentral:rRNA from 1 species